UGGGGAAUUUUGGACAAUGGGCGAAAGUCUGAUCCAGCCAUGCCGCGUGAGUGAAGAAGGCCUUCGGGUUGUAAAGCUCUUUCAGACGGAAAGAAAACUUCUGGGCUAAUACCCUGGGAGGAUGACGGUACCGUAAGAAGAAGCACCGGCUAACUACGUGCCAGCAGCCGCGGUAAUACGUAGGGUGCGAGCGUUAAUCGGAAUUACUGGGCGUAAAGCGUGCGCAGGCGGUUAUGCAAGACAGAUGUAAAAUCCCCGGGCUCAACCUGGGAACUGCAUUUGUGACUGCAUAGCUGGAGUGCGGCAGAGGGGGAUGGAAUUCCGCGUGUAGCAGUGAAAUGCGUAGAGAUGUGGAGGAACACCAAUGGCGAAGGCAGCCCCCUGGGUCGAUACUGACGCUCAUGCACGAAAGCGUGGGUAGCAAACA
rnacentral:rRNA from 1 species